GCUGGAUAACCAUAAGCCCGGAGCAAGAGAGAGAGUCGCCGAGCCAGAACUCUCUCCACAUUUGUGUACACACACAAUCCACAAAAGAGCAGAGAGGGAUGCGUGGCAGAGCAGGGUAGCUAUGGAUAGAAAGAGAAGGAAAGUUAGGGUGAAGGACCAGGCGAAGGGAAGGGCAGGCAAGACGGCAGCUGGAAGUCUCUCGCUCCCUCUCUCUCUCUCCCGCUAUUUGUGGUGGGUUUUCGAUACGAUCGUACUGCUGCUCUAAAUAGCCCUAAUUUCUUGGCCUUGGCAAAAUUAACGCCGCUUCGCCAAAACUCAGAAAUUUGCGAAAAACAUCAGCCUUACAUCACCGCAUCGGACACCCUGCCCCACACCCCAUAACCCAUCCUACGCCAGCCUUAGAUUGAUUCCCUG
rnacentral:lncRNA from 1 species